rfam:Felis catus isolate Cinnamon breed Abyssinian chromosome D3, whole genome shotgun sequence.
GCCUGCAUGGCUCAGUCAGUUGAGCUUCUGACUUCGGCUCAGGUCAUGAUCUCACAGUUUGUGGGUUCAAGCCCCCACAUCGGGCU